CGACAUAAUAGUUUUGUUACAACAAAAUAAAAACAAAGCGAGAGAAAUCGAGAGAAAGAGAGAGAGAGCUCGACUUAGAGGGUAGUUUUCUUCUCUGUUUCUCUAUCUCUCUCGAAAGCCAGAAAUCUAGAACCAUAUCCACUAAUAAGAUCACCGCCCUAACGAAAAAGAAACUGCCAAAAUCUUUAAUGAAGGGACAAAGGUUUUGUUAGGACGCUAGAAUAACCACCAUGUUAAUUAAUACACGAAAGAUUAACAUUCCUUCUCCCUUGCAUUUUGCUCCAUGAAUCGUUAUCAUCAUUCCAUUUCUUCAAAUAAAAUUUUGAAUAAAACAACAGGGGAAUUAGAACUCUUGAUCUUAUCUUCAUUGUUCGAGAAAUAACCAUGCGGUGGAUACACCUUACGUUUACCAAAGACAAAGACAAAAACAACUAUUACGCUUCUUCUUCUUCUUCCUCCUCCUCUUCUUCUUCUUCCGUCGUUGAAAACCACAAGAAAGCAUGGCGGUUCCGCAACGGGAACAAGAAGCGUCUCAACAACGAUGGAAAGUCCGCUAACAGUUACAAGAAGCAUGUUGACGUGGAAGAGGAGGCUGCCGUGGCGAUUACGACAACCUCUCCUUCCGGCAUUCGCACCACAUCCACCUCCUCCUCUGCGUCAGCGUCUUCCUCCUCUUCCUCCGCCAUGCCUCUCCCGUUGCCUUUGCCGCAGCGUGAUGCAGAAUGUCGCCAACCGUCACCUGUAAGAACCUCCAGCGGCGCUAGCUCCAAUGGCUAUCGAUCCGCGGAGGAUCGCGAUCAAACUGAUGCUGCGGCAGCUGUCAACGGUUCAUCCUUCACGGGCUUCAAGAUGAGGAGUGUUUUUGCUAGCAACCGAGACACAAGGCGGAAGGCUGAUCAGGUAGAAAAUCGCUUGUCACCGAGAUCUCAAGAAAACUAUUGCUUAAGCCACUCCGGCAGGAGUGGUUCGAGUAGUCCCUUUGCAAGUCCCAAGAUCAGUCCGUGUAGCACAGAUGAUUUCGUGCCAUAUCAUUAUGUGGCUCCAAAAGGAAACCAAUUCUGGUCUGCACCGGAGAUAACUAAUUCAGAAUCAUCCAUUCAUCCAAUCUUUGAUUUAUCGGCGUCUGGCACCGAAACCUCGCCAAAGGGAAGACCUCAGCUACUCCAUGUUAAGAGCUCAAGUGGACCUCCAUCACCCUUGCACGGCGGCAUGAUGAAUGAGACUGCAUCAGCGCGCCGGGCUGAAGGUAAUUCUGUCAGUGUCCACCGUUUACCCCUGCCUCCCAUGCCCAACUCACCUACCCUAACCGCUGCAACUACCUACUCCCACGCCCCGGGGAGAUCAGAAUCUUUGCCAAUGAAAAGCCAAUGGAAGAAAGGGAAACUUAUUGGUCGUGGCACGUUUGGAAGUGUUUAUGUUGGCACUAAUAGAGAAACUGGAGCAUUGUGUGCUGUGAAAGAAGUAGAAUUAUGUCACGAGGAUCCAACUUCCAUAGAGUCUAUAAAGCAGUUAGAGCAGGAAAUUAAAGUUCUUAGCCAACUGAAACAUUCAAAUAUUGUGCAGUACUAUGGUAGUGAAGUAGUUGAAGACAAAUUCAAUAUUUAUCUGGAAUAUGUACAUCCUGGUUCAAUUAAUAAAUAUGUCCGCGACCAUUGUGGCGCCAUAACAGAAUCGGUCGUUAGGAAUUUUACUCGCCAUAUUCUUUCGGGGUUGGCAUACUUGCAUAGCAAGAAAACAAUUCAUAGGGACAUUAAAGGGGCUAAUUUGCUUGUCGAUUCGGCAGGAGUUGUCAAACUUGCUGAUUUUGGAAUGGCAAAGCAUCUUAAUGGAUAUGAAGGUAAUCUCUCUUUGAAGGGAAGUCCAUAUUGGAUGGCUCCAGAGCUUAUGCAGACUGUUGUUAUGCAUAAGGAUAACAACUCGGAUCUAGCUUAUGCUACUGAUAUUUGGAGCCUCGGUUGUACAAUCAUUGAAAUGUUCAAUGGGAAGCCUCCAUGGAGCGAGUUCGAAGGAGCUGCAGCAAUGUUUAAGGUUAUGAAAGAUACCCCGCCUAUACCGGAAACAUUGUCAUCCGAAGGCAAAGAUUUCUUGAGGUGCUGCUUUAGAAGAAAUCCGGCAGAGCGACCUACUGCUGCAAUGUUACUCGAACAUCGAUUUUUGAAGAACUCUCAACCGAUGGAUGUUACACCUUCCACUCAAUUGUACAAUGGAACAACAAUCAUGGAUAAAACUCUAGGCCCUCAUAGUCCCACAGGGCAUCUAGAAAAUAUACCUGAUCAGAUAUCUAUCACGUGCGAGAAGAUUGCGAAGUUGAAAGCUGCAGAGCGGCGAGGAAUUCUUAUUCCUAACUUGGAUAUCUUGCCAGCAUUCCAAAGACAAUAACUAGUUAGCUACAUCCUCUCCUUGAUCUUUCGCUCUUCGUCCCCCGUCCCCUGUAGCUCAACCCCUUAAGCAUGAUUUUUUUGUGUGCUGGAAUUGAGCAAAUAUCUCACAAUGUAGCUUCUGCAUAACAUCACUAAAAUAUAUGGAGAAGGAAAAGAGAAAAUGGUUACUUGCUUCUAUUGAGGUUCUUCAUCAAGAUUAUCACUAAAAGAGUGAUGUUGCUUCUAGAAGAAGGUAUGUUGCAUGCAACAGAUCAUAGUAGCAGUUUUUGUAUUAUAGUAAUGUUUAUGCUUGACUUAGAAGAUUGCAGCAAUUAACCUUCUAAGCAAAGGGAAUAAUUCUCCCUCCAUCAGCAUUACAAUGAAUUGAAUAUGUAAAUAUAAUUAGGAUACACCUUUCCUAGUUUUGAUGGUGAUUGUGAUUAUGACAUGGGAGGGGCAGUGUAUGUUAGUCAACUCCAGUUGUUAUAUUUUUAAUAAUGAUACUUGAAGAUUGGAAUAUUAGUCUUAGAUUGUAAAAAAAUUGCCCUGCCCGGCCAAACAAAGGAAAAAAGAACACAAGAGCAUACUCUUAUGAAUUCACCCAUAAA